CUACGGGCCGCACCAGUGAGGAAUAUUGCACAAUGGGGGGAACCCUGAUGCAGCAACGCCGCGUGGAGGAUGACGCAUUUCGGUGUGUAAACUCCUUUUAUAUGUCAAGAAAAUGACGGUAGCAUAUGAAUAAGCGCCGGCUAACUCCGUGCCAGCAGCCGCGGUAAUACGGAGGGCGCAAGCGUUACUCGGAAUCACUGGGCGUAAAGGACGCGUAGGCGGGUUGAAAAGUCAGGUGUGAAAGCCUACAGCUUAACUGUAGAACUGCACUUGAAACUCUCAAUCUAGAGUAUGGGAGGGGCAGAUGGAAUUAGUGGUGUAGGGGUAAGAUCCGUAGAUAUCACUAGGAAUACCUAAAGCGAAGGCGAUCUGCUGGAACAUUACUGACGCUAAGGCGUGAAAGCGUGGGGAGCAAACAGGAUUAGAUACCCGAGUAGUC
rnacentral:rRNA from 1 species